UACGUAGGUGGCAAGCGUUGUCCGGAAUUAUUGGGCGUAAAGCGUGCGUAGUCGGUUAUGUAAGACAGGUGUGAAAUCCCCGGGCUUAACCUGGGAACUGCAUUUGUGACUGCAUAGCUAGAGUACGGUAGAGGGGGAUGGAAUUCCGCGUGUAGCAGUGAAAUGCGUAGAUAUGCGGAGGAACACCGAUGGCGAAGGCAAUCCCCUGGACCUGUACUGACGCUCAUGCACGAAAGCGUGGGGAGCAAACAGG
rnacentral:rRNA from 1 species